rnacentral:rRNA from 1 species
UACGUAGGGUGCGAGCGUUAAUCGGAAUUACUGGGCGUAAAGCGCGCGUAGGUGGUUCGUUGUGUCUGUGGUGAAAGCCCCGGGCUUAACCUGGGAAUGGCCAUGGAAACUGGCGAGCUGGAGUGUGGCAGAGGGGGGUGGAAUUCCACGUGUAGCAGUGAAAUGCGUAGAGAUGUGGAGGAACACCGAUGGCGAAGGCAGCCCCCUGGGAUGAUACUGACGCUCAGGCACGAAAGCGUGGGGAGCAAACAGG